rnacentral:lncRNA from 1 species
AACAGAAUAAAAAUGCUUUAUAAAUUACUUAUCGAAUUACUAGAAUUUAACAUUGUUCUCUGUCAUUAAAGCUUUUACUUUUAAUAUAACGUUAUUAUAAAAGAAAUCCUAAAUUAGCUUGCUAAUACAAUUCCCUAAUAGCACACAGUAAAAAAAGAAUAGGUGAGGCGUUUCUGAUUCAACAAGGCAGACUGAGCAGAUACUUCGUGUCUCUCUAAAAACACUCCACUAUGAAAAGAAAACAACUAUAGAAUAGAAUAAAUCUACACCAACAAAAGACUGGUUGUGAGAAAACAGAAGAGGGGAUAUCAACAAAUUACCAGAAUGCUCAAUGCAGAUGGAAGCAUACCCAAUGACAGUGGAGGAAGCUGCAGUUCAAACACUUGCAAGAGGCUGCAACUGAGAAGGGUACCAUAUUCUAACAGGUAGAAGUGGGCUGAAAACAGAAAUUAACUGAAGGUCUGAUAUCUGAAGGGUCUUUCCUUCUCCUCAACUCCAUUUCCAGGAAAAACAAAAACAAUGAGAUAUCAUGCAAUUUUCAUCAACUGAUGAACUGAUGGAGAACAACAAAAAGAAAACCCUUUGAUCCUGAUGCAAGAAACAUUGAGUGGCUCCAGAGCUGUGUUAUUAGACUCAUACAGAAAAUCUGAGACUAUCGCUUGGCUCUACAAUGAAUGAUAUUUAUAUAGAAGCAACCUCAGAGAAGAUAUGACCAUCUAGUUUCAGGAAGACAAGCUCAGGUCUCCCACUGAUUCUGCAUUGUGACUCUAAAAGACACUUAAUGCAGACAAGAAGGGAAUGAAGGAGGAAGUGACGAGAGGAAGAUGAACAAAGCUAAAUGCCUUCAGCAGGGAGAGGAAACAAAAACUGAGAUUCACCUCAUAACUG